UUCGAUGUAGCUCAGUGGUAGAGCACUUGCCUAGCAUGUGCAAGACCCUGGAUUCAAUCUCAGUACCGAAA
rnacentral:tRNA from 1 species